rnacentral:sRNA from 1 species
GACCCCUUUCAGAAAAACGAAAACUCACAGAAGGGAGGGCUAAAUUGGAGAGAUUUACACACGACCAAUAAGAGCUAUGUUCUGAAAUAAGCAUAGGCUGCUCCGUCUUCUCUUCGAUGUGAACUUGUCACUUUGUGAUUUUUGUUUGAUCACCUUGAUAUCUAGUUAGUAGUUAUCUGCUAUCUUGUCAACACUACGAACUAUUGGCUUCAACUUCAUUCAGCAACCAUUCUUUUUUUUUAAAAAACGAUAUACUACUGAAGCAUGCUUGCAAUCAUCGUCUUUUUUUUUAAUCCUCAAGGCCUG